rnacentral:rRNA from 1 species
CCUACGGGAGGCAGCAGUGAGGAAUAUUGGUCAAUGGCCGGAAGGCUGAACCAGCCAAGCCGCGUGAAGGACGAAGGUGCCAAGCAUUGUAAACUUCUUUUGUCAAGGGACAAAAUCAGGCUCGAGAGCCUGACCGUGGGUACUUGAAGAAAAAGCAUCGGCUAACUCCGUGCCAGCAGCCGCGGUAAUCCGGAGGAUGCGAGCGUUAUCCGGAUGUAUUGGGUUAAAGGGGUGCGUAGGGGGGCGGUUAAGUCAGUGGUAAAAGCCCGGGGCCCAACCCCGGCGAGCCGUUGAAACUGGCUGUCUUGAGAUGUCGAGAGGUAUGCGGAAUGCGCAGUGUAGCGGUGAAAUGCUUAGAGAUUGCGCAGAACUCCGAUUGCGAAGGCAGCAUACCGGCGGCGAUCUGACGCUGAGGCACGAAAGCGUGGGUAGCGAACAGGAUUAGAUACCCCAGUAGUC